rnacentral:rRNA from 1 species
GAUGAACGCUGGCGGCGUGCCUAAUACAUGCAAGUCGAGCGAACAGAUAAGGAGCUUGCUCCUUUGAAGUUAGCGGCGGACGGAUGAGUAACACGUGGGUAACCUACCUAUAAGACUGGGAUAACUUCGGGAAACCGGAGCUAAUACCGGAUAACAUUUAGAACCGCAUGGUUCUAAAGUGAAAGAUGGUUUUGCUAUCACUUAUAGAUGGACCCGCGCCGUAUUAGCUAGUUGGUAAGGUAACGGCUUACCAAGGCGACGAUACGUAGCCGACCUGAGAGGGUGAUCGGCCACACUGGAACUGAGACACGGUCCAGACUCCUACGGGAGGCAGCAGUAGGGAAUCUUCCGCAAUGGGCGAAAGCCUGACGGAGCAACGCCGCGUGAGUGAUGAAGGGUUUCGGCUCGUAAAACUCUGUUAUUAGGGAAGAACAAAUGUGUAAGUAACUGUGCACAUCUUGACGGUACCUAAUCAGAAAGCCACGGCUAACUACGUG